CUUUGCCGGUGUUCUGCUUCUUCUGCUGAAAAUAUAACAGUAGAAAACACUGACUGGACAGAUGCUACAGCAACACAAUGACUCUGUGACGACUCAACAUCCUUCCUGACACGUCAUCUUAAUGUCUGAACGUCCGUCCAAUCACAGCUUCCACCUCUAACUCUUCACUGAUGAUGAUGAUGAUAGGCCUGAUGAAGGUGAGCAGGUGCCAUGCUCUAACACUAACACACGCUGUUUUCAGUGACUACUUGGAAAAGUCUUUAUCUAAUAACACAAUGUUAGUUUUCAUGAUCUGUAGAUUUGUAAUGAUUCAUUUCGGACUGUUAAUUUCAAGUGUAUUCAUCCCGUCAUGGAAACAUUAAAAACUGUGACAGCUACGGAAGCCCGGCAGGCGUCAUGGAGGAAAAAAACAAACAAAAAAAUUGUGUGAACAAAUAAAUAAAUAGUGCACUCAAAUUAAUAUUUUCUGCUCUCAAAUGAACAUUAAUUAGUUAAUUUUUGCUCUUGAAUGAAUCGUUUGUCGACACAGAUGAACAGAACAUGUUAGUUGAGGGUUUAAGAACAGCAGCAGCUGUUCAGACUGUAAAGCUCUGAGAUAAAUCUGCCCUAUAUCUUAUUAUAAAUAUCAUAUUCUGGGAUAUAUUGAUAACAAAUGACUUUUUCUAUUUGUUUAUAUACAAGUUGACCAAUGGCACAAUCUCCCCAAAGCAUGUUGUAUUUUUACACAUCCUGAAGAAGAAGAAGCUUUGACCUGCGUCAACACACACAGACACACUCGUCAUGCUCUACAGUGGCCACUAGAGGUCAGACGCUCCACACGGUACCUUUAAACAUCCUACAGAGCGUCUUCGCUGACUAUCAGACUGAUCUGUCCGACACACAGUGGGGAUCAGGGUCUGCAGAGAGAGAGCAGCCUCUCUCCGACCCUUCACCGACACUCUUCCGUCAUUUGGUUGGUUUCUAGCACAAAGUGAGUAUGAAAGAUGAAGAGGAGGAUGAUGAACUCAUGCUGAUGGAAACGACAGGACAGAAACAAACUGAUGGAGAGACACUUUUAAUGAUCUAUUUUGUCACAUUCCUGUGUGCAGAAAUGUGACCAAAUAAAUUAAAUAUAAAAUAUUUCACCAGAGACGAUCAAUUCAACCAUUCCAAAAAACACCUGAAAGUUAAGUUUCAUCCAAACUGAAGGUGGGACUAGUGGCUGAAGGACUUUAGCCUGAGUGGAUUACAGUGUUAAGACGUUAGAGCAGCCCAGUACUGACCAGUAUAUUCAGUCUCUGUCUACCAGUAGAUGAUGGAGCUCCCCAACAACGACUCGACCCUCUUAAAAACUUCAAUAUUUUGGUGGAUAAAGUUCUAAAUGAAAGCGUUUUAUGACCUGUUGUUCCUUCCUCGUGGUCUGGAUGCUCUCAGUCAGCCUGUAUUAAAGAGACUCUGCCUUCAGGAAGAAUAAAGUAAUGAGGGACACUUCAGAAUCACUGUGACCGUGUAUGUUCAGCUGUCAUUGUUAAAUAUGCUACGUGUGUCUGAGCUUUGGAACUAAAGCAGGACGUGAAGCAGCGUCUUCAGCUCUGUCGUCGGUUUGAGAAGCUUCUACAAUCAUUUUGUUUUUAACCGUUUCUGUUGUGAAUCCGAGAUGACGACAGCUGUCGUCUUCUGCAAAGAUACAGAUGAUGUGAAUGAAUUCAUUUCCAAAGAAAGAC